rnacentral:rRNA from 1 species
AAUCUUCCACAAUGGACGAAAGUCUGCUGGAGCACCGCUGCGUGUGCGAAGCAUGUUUUCGGAACGUAAAGCUCUGUUUCGAGGGAAGAACAAGUACGGGCGUAACUUACCGUACCUUGACGGUACCUCGUCAGAAAGCCCCGGCUCACUACGUGCCAGCAGCCGCGGUAAUACGUAGGUGGCAAGCGUUGUCCGGAAUUAUUGGGCGUAAAGCGCGCGCAGGCGGUCCUUUAAGUCUGAUGUGAAAGCCCACGGCUCAACCGUGGAGGGUAAUUGGAAACUGGAGGACUUGAGUACAGAAGAGGAAGCGGAAUUCCACGUGUAGCGGUGAAAUGCGUAGAGAUGUGAAGGAACACCAGUGGCGAAGGCGGCUUGCUGGUCUGUAACUGACGCUGAGGCGCGAAAGCGUGGGGUACAAACA